rnacentral:rRNA from 1 species
AGCUGUCUCGGAUACAACGGCGGACGGGUGAGUAAUGCCUAGGAAUCUGCCUGGUAGUGGGGGAUAACGUCCGGAAACGGGCGCUAAUACCGCAACGUCCUGAGGGAGAAAGUGGGGGAUCUUCGGACCUCACGCUAUCAGAUGAGCCUAGGUCGGAUUAGCUAGUUGGUGGGGUAAAGGCCUACCAAGGCGACCAUCCGUAACUGGUCUGAGAGGAUGAUCAGUCACACUGGAACUGAGACACGGUCCAGACUCCUACGGGAGGCAGCAGUGGGGAAUAUUGGACAAUGGGCGAAAGCCUGAUCCAGCCAUGCCGCGUGUGUGAAGAAGGUCUUCGGAUUGUAAAGCACUUUAAGUUGGGAGGAAGGGCAGUAAGUUAAUUACCUUGCUGUUUUUGACGUUACCAACAGAAUAGCACCGGCUUAACUUCGUGCCAGCAGCCGCGGUAAUACGAAGGGUGC